rnacentral:misc_RNA from 1 species
GAAAUGUGAUAAGUAAUGUGAAUUGCAGAAUUCAGUGAAUCAUCGAAUCGUUGAACGCACCUUGCGCUCAUUGGUAUUCCUUGGAGCAUGCCUGUUUGAGUAUCAUGAAAUCUUCAAAGUAAAUCUUUUGUUAACUCAAUUGGUUUCUACUUUGGUAUUGGAGGUCUUUGCAGCUUCACACCUGCUCCUCUUUGUUCAUUAGCUGGAUCUCAGUGUUAUGCUUGGUUCCACUCGGCGUGAUAAGUUAUCUAUCGCUGAGGACACUGUAAAAGGUGGCCAAGGUAAAUGCAGAUGAACCGCUUCUAAUAGUCCAUUGACUUGGACAAUACUUUUAUGAUCUGAUCUCAAAUCAGGUAGGACUACCCGCUGAACUUAAGC